rnacentral:lncRNA from 1 species
GCGCCGCCCCCUCCGGCCGCCCGGGCCGGCCUUCCCCGCUGACUGACAGCGGGACCUCCUCCCGCGGCCAGCCGGGCCUGGGAAGCGGCGCGGAGGCGGCUCCGGCCCUGCCCAGCGCGCGGCCCCCGGAGCUCAGGCCGGGGAGCGGGGGAGGGGGCGGCGUGCACGGGUUCCAAGCCCGAGGCGAGGCGGGAUAACGGGACCCGGAGGCCGAAAGCGGAGCUGGCCGGCAGGGUGCGGGGAGUUGGAGGGGCGAGGCCGGCGGGUAACGGGCUCCUAGGGACCAGCCGCCAAGGCCUGGGUGCAGAGGUCACACGGGGUGCACAGCUGCCUCCUGGUCCACGGCCUCGAUUUUCCUCUACAACCAGACUGUUGUCCUGAGUGUCCUCAGAAAAGUCCAGCCCAUUCUGACUUCUGUGUCCUUGCAUAGGUCACUUACCCGCAGGGCCUG